UUCUCUUUUAUAGGCGGGGGUCGGUUUACCUGUGAUGUAACGGGGCGAGGCCGUAGUACGGCUCGGCAUGUUGUUCAGGUCGGCGCACGAUCAGGUGAAUCAUUGCGUUGAUGUCGGCGGUGAGGUCGUCGUACGACCUGGGCUUGCACGCUACCAGACGAAUUAUUGCAUUGGUGUCGGAGGUAUGGCCGAGAUCAGAGACUUAUCAUGGUUGACUAAACUCUGCUGGGCU
rnacentral:lncRNA from 1 species